GUGCUCGUUUGGGCAGCACCUAUACUAAAAUUGGAAUGAUACAGAGAUUAACAUGGCCCCUGUGCAAGGACAACAUGCAAAUUCGUGAAGUGUUCCAUAUUUUU